GAUGAACGCUGGCGGCGUGCCUAAUACAUGCAAGUCGAGCGAACGGACGAGAAGCUUGCUUCUCUGAUGUUAGCGGCGGACGGGUGAGUAACACGUGGAUAACCUACCUAUAAGACUGGGAUAAAUUCGGGAAACCGGAGCUAAUACCGGAUGAUAUUUUGAACCGCAUGGUUCAAAAGUGAAAGACGGUCUUGCUGUCACUUAUAGAUGGAUCCGCGCUGCAUUAGCUAGUUGGUAAGGUAACGGCUUACCAAGGCAACGAUGCAUAGCCGACCUGAGAGGGUGAUCGGCCACACUGGAACUGAGACACGGUCCAGACUCCUACGGGAGGCAGCAGUAGGGAAUCUUCCGCAAAGGGCGAAAGCCUGACGGAGCAACGCCGCGUGAGUGAUGAAGGUCUUCGGAUCGUAAAACUCUGUUAUUAGGGAAGAACAUAUGUGUAAGUAACUGUGCACAUCUUGACGGUACCUAAUCAGAAAGCCACGGCUAACUACGUG
rnacentral:rRNA from 1 species